rnacentral:rRNA from 1 species
GCCAGCCCGCUCAGAACUUAAAGGAAUUGACGGGGCCGCACAAGCGGUGGAGUAUGUGGUUUAAUCGAUGCAACGCGAAGAACCUUACCUGGUCUUGACAUCCCGGAGACCCUUAGGAAACUAGGGGGUGCUUCCAUCUGGAAGAAUCUGGAGACAGGUGCUGCAUGGCUGUCGUCAGCUCGUGUCGUGAGAUGUUGGGUUAAGUCCCGCAACGAGCGCAACCCUUGCCUUUAGUUGCCAGCAGUUCGGCUGGGCACUCUAAAGGGACUGCCGGUGUUAAACCGGAGGAAGGUGGGGAUGACGUCAAGUCCUCAUGGCCUUUAUGACCAGGGCUACACACGUACUACAAUGGCCGAUACAAAGGGCAGCGACACUGCGAGGUGAAGCCAAUCCCGUAAAAUCGGUCUCAGUCCGGAUUGGAGUCUGCAACUCGACUCCAUGAAGUUGGAAUCGCUAGUAAUCGUGGAUCAGCAUGCCACGGUGAAUACGUUCCCGGGCCUU